rnacentral:rRNA from 1 species
UACGUAGGGGGCGAGCGUUAAUCGGAAUUACUGGGCGUAAAGCGUGCGCAGGCGGUUCCAUAAGACAGAUGUGAAAUCCCCGGGCUUAACCUGGGAACUUCGUUUGUGACUGGGGGACUUGAGUGUGGCAGAGGGGGGUGGAAUUCCACGUGUAGCAGUGAAAUGCGUAGAGAUGUGGAGGAACACCGAUGGCGAAGGCAGCCCCCUGGGUCAACACUGACGCUCAUGCACGAAAGCGUGGGGAGCAAACAGG